rnacentral:tRNA from 1 species
UAGCUUUGUUGGUAGAGCCCUUGUCUAGCAUACAAGAGUCGUGGCUUCAAAUCCCAC